rnacentral:rRNA from 1 species
GGCGUUUGUCUGGGCGCCGCGCGCUACACUGAUCAAGUCAACGAGUUUACAACCUUGGCCGGAAGGUCUGGGUAAUCUUUUGAAACUUGAUCGUGCUGGGGAUAGUCCAUUGCAAUUAUUGGACUUCAACGAGGAAUUCCUAGUAAGCGUGAGUCAUCAGCUCGCGUUGAUUACGUCCCUGCCCUUUGUACACACCGCCCGUCGCUACUACCGAUUGAAUGGCUUAGUGAGGCUUUCGGAUUGGAUUUUGGCAGCUGGCAACAGCAGCUAGGAACUGAAAAGUUAUCCAAACUUGGUCAUUUAGAGGAAGUAAAAGUCGUAACAAGGUUUCCGUAGGUGAACCUGCGGAAA